rnacentral:rRNA from 1 species
GACGAACGCUGGCGGCGUGCUUAACACAUGCAAGUCGAACGGAAAGGCCCUGCUUUUGUGGGGUGCUCGAGUGGCGAACGGGUGAGUAACACGUGAGUAACCUGCCCUUGACUUUGGGAUAACUUCAGGAAACUGGGGCUAAUACCGGAUAGGAGCUCCUGCUGCAUGGUGGGGGUUGGAAAGUUUCGGCGGUUGGGGAUGGACUCGCAGCUUAUCAGCUUGUUGGUGGGGUAGUGGCUUACCAAGGCUUUGACGGGUAGCCGGCCUGAGAGGGUGACCGGCCACAUUGGGACUGAGAUACGGCCCAGACUCCUACGGGAGGCAGCAGUGGGGAAUAUUGCACAAUGGGCGGAAGCCUGAUGCAGCAACGCCGCGUGCGGGAUGACGGCCUUCGGGUUGUAAACCGCUUUCGCCUGUGACGAAGCGUGAGUGGCGGUAAUGGGUAAAGAAGCACCGGCUAACUACGUG